GUGAGUAGUUCAGAGUUUGAUCCUGGCUCAGGAUGGACGCUGGCGGCGUGCUUAACACAUGCAAGUCGAACGGACAAGGUGAAACCUAGUGAUCCUUGUUAGUGGCGGACGGGUGAGUAACGCGUGGGCAACCUGCCUCAUACAGGGGGAUAACAGUUAGAAAUAGCUGCUAAUACCGCAUAAGCGCACAGUACCGCAUGGUACGGUGUGAAAAACUCCGGUGGUAUGAGAUGGACCCGCGUCUGAUUAGCUAGAUGGCGGGGUAACGGCCCACCAUGGCGACGAUCAGUAGCCGGUCUGAGAGGAUGAACGGCCACAUUGGGACUGAGAUACGGCCCAG
rnacentral:rRNA from 1 species